UACGUAGGUGGCAAGCGUUAUCCGGAAUUACUGGGCGUAAAGCGCACGCAGGCGGUCUUUUAAGUUUGACGUGAAAGCUCCCGGCUUAACUGGGAGAGGUCGUUGAAUACUGGAAGACUUGAGGAAAUGAGAGGGGUGUAGAAUUCCUGGUGUAGUGGUGGAAUGCGUAGAUAUCAGGAGGAAUACCAGUGGCGAAAGCGGCACCUUAGCAUUUUUCUGACGCUCAUGUGCGAAAGCGUGGGGAGCGAACGGG
rnacentral:rRNA from 1 species